rnacentral:lncRNA from 1 species
GUAUGGAUGACUGAAAAGGAACAAGAGGGAACUUUAUGAGAAUCAGUUCAAUAGCAACAAAUGGUCUACUUACUCCAGCUCCCAGCUUCCUUUGGCAUUCCCAGCAUUGCCCUGAGAAGGUCCUCCUCCAAGAAAAGAGCACCAGCUGCCUAAGUUUAAGCAAUGGCCAUAACCCCCUCCUCUGUACCCUAAGUUUUAUUAAGUCCACCUCUUCCCUCCAGCUCCAACAGACCCAGGAGGUCAGCUGCUUCCUGCAGACACUAAUCCAACACGUUGCAGAAGGAGAGAACAUUUUUCCUCACAGAAGACUGUCACUGCACAGUGAUGGUUGUCAGAAACGAGCUAAGACUCAG